CCUCCAAGGCUAAAUACUACUGACUGACCGAUAGUGAACCAGUACCGUGAGGGAAAGGCGAAAAGAACCCCUGUGAGGGGAGUGAAAUAGAACCUGAAACCGUGUACGUACAAGCAGUAGGAGCAGGCUUUGUCCUGUGACUGCGUACCUUUUGUAUAAUGGGUCAGCGACUUAUAUUCAGUGGCAAGGUUAACCAUCUAGGGGAGCCGUAGGGAAACCGAGUCUUAACUGGGCGUUCAGUCUCUGGAUAUAGACCCGAAACCAGGUGAUCUAGCCAUGGGCAGGUUGAAGGUUGAGUAACAUCAACUGGAGGACCGAACCGACUAAUGUUGAAAAAUUAGCGGAUGACUUGUGGCUAGGGGUGAAAGGCCAAUCAAACCUGGAGAUAGCUGGUUCUCCCCGAAAGCUAUUUAGGUAGCGCCUCGGACGAAUACUACUGGGGGUAGAGCACUGUUAAGGCUAGGGGGUCAUCCCGACUUACCAACCCUUUGCAAACUCCG
rnacentral:rRNA from 1 species